UUGAGAACCCCCCUGCCCCGAGCCCGGGUUCUUGGUUUGCCGCUGCCCGCAACCCCCUGCAGUGUGCGGAGUCGCCACCGUUUCCCUCACUCCCAGGCUCCCUCGUGUCAGCCCUACUCGGACUUCUGUCUGGAUUCGGGAAAGCAGGUUCCAGAGGCUCACCGCCCAACUCCCCACCGAGGCUGGGGGAAAGAGUUCUAAGCCCCACUCCAUCGGAUUGGAAGAACCUAGGCUGCCUACCCACUGCGUUUGGAGUUACUUCUCUCGGUCCGUCUCAAUUUAGAGUACUCCCAUGGAGGCAAACGCCUUCCCGUCUUCCUUCUCCCCACACCCCAAUCUUCUGGGUCUCUGAGAUCCUCCAGUGCUUUUGCCCCAGGCUCCUGGGGGCCAUCUCAUCCACCCCUUAAACUCCCUCCUCUAGCCUGGGAACCCCGAGGAAGUCCAUGCUGGAUCACCUCUGGACCCAGGCCACUCUCCCUAUCCGCCACCUCUCCAAAUCCAUAUCCUCUCCUCAAUUCCUUGGCUGAAACCAGCCAAGAAAGGGUCAAAGUCAGAGGCUAAGGCAGCCACUCCUCCCCAAAUCCCCAACGCUGCUGGGUGUCUCAGUGCCACACAAACCCCUCCCUCCCAACUCACCUCCCACUCCUUCCCCCCCCACUCUUCAAUCCACUCUGUGUAACCCAGUGACAAUCCCUGAUGACAAGCCCCUUGCUCACCUUGACCUCCAUCCUCAAGUUAGCCACCUUUUAUUAACGUGUGCAGGAGCUCCGGGCAACGUAACCCUGACCUCUGGAAGGAUGCCCAUCCCCCUCCUCUCAGUAUAUUUUCCCUGCCCCCACCCCACCCCAGCCACC